rnacentral:rRNA from 1 species
GGCGGACGGGUGAGUAACGCGUAAGGAACUUGCCUCUUGGACUGGGACAACUGUUGGAAACGACAGCUAAUACCGGAUAUUAUGAGAUUCUCGCAUGAGAAAUUUAUGAAAGCUAUAUGCGCCAAGAGAGAGCCUUGCGUUCCAUUAGCUAGUUGGUGGGGUAACGGCCCACCAAGGCGACGAUGGAUAGCCGGCCUGAGAGGGUGAACGGCCACAAGGGGACUGAGACACGGCCCUUACUCCUACGGGAGGCAGCAGUGGGGAAUAUUGGACAAUGGGCCACAAGCCUGAUCCAGCAAUUCUGUGUGCACGAUGAAGGUCUUCGGAUUGUAAAGUGCUUUCAGUUGGGAAGAAGAAAGUGACGGUACCAACAGAAGAAGCGACGGCUAAAUACGUGCCAGCAGCCGCGGUAAUACGUAUGUCGCAAGCGUUAUCCGGAUUUAUUGGGCGUAAAGCGCGUCUAGGCGGAAAAAUAAGUCUGAUGUUAAAAUGCGGGGCUCAACUCCGUAUUGCGUUGGAAACUGUUUUUCUAGAGUACUGGAGAGGUGGGCGGAACUACAAGUGUAGAGGUGAAAUUCGUAGAUAUUUGUAGGAAUGCCGAUGGAGAAGUCAGCUCACUGGACAGAUACUGACGCUGAAGCGCGAAAGCGUGGGGAGCAAACAGGA